AUCCUAAUUCCUCCUCGUGCGGUUUUCGCAUAAAUCAUCUGGCCGACGGGUAUCCCUGAGACUGCGUCAAACAUGUCAAGUAACGACUUCGACAGCUUUGAGGAUUUGACGGAUUUAGAUGAAGACUAUGUGGUCCCAGCAAAGACCACAAAGCGGAAGAAACAGGCAUUGGAACAGUCGCUGCUACCCAGGAGGCAGAGGCAUAAAGCUGCAUUGAGCGCGACACCCGGCUCGCCUGGCACUUCCAUCUCCUCUCCACCAGACGCUUCUCAGCAGCAACAGUCCUCCCAAGGGACAAGGCACAGCUCACCCGGGCCUAGGACAAGACCAGGGAACAGAGGCGCCCGUGGUAUCAGUGCGGACGAUAUCUACAAAGCUGUCAGCUCUGGAAAGACCGCCAUCGUGGUGGUGGUCGACGAGUGGAUGGACUCCUACAAGCAGAGUCGUGAGACAGGGCUGCUGGUGCUCAUUAACUUCAUUGUUCAGUCCUGCGGAUGCAAAGGAGAGGUUAGCAGAGACAUGCUUGACUCCACGCCAAAUGCGGAUAUCAUUGCCACACUAACCAAACAGUUUGAUAUGGAUUCAGCAACCUACCCUCUGUCCACUACGGGCCCCUUGCUGAAAAAAAUCAAAGCAGGCCUGUGCGAGUUUACCCGGAUCUUGGUACGCUCCUGUGGGAGUCGAAUCAUUUACGACGAGUACCUCUUCCCCUCUGUGCUAUCUCUACUCACUGGGCUGACCGACUCCCAAGUCAGAGCCUUCAGACACACCAGCACCCUGCUGGCCAUCAAGAUCAUGUCUGGGAUGUUGGAAAUAGCCGUGACGGUGUCCUUCCAGCUGCACCCCAUCCAGCGGCACUACGACAAAGAGAACAGCAAGCAGACGGACGAGCGAGACUCUGGGCGACUGGAAGAUCUCCAGGCCGGCAUCAGGGAGCUGCAGGAGAAGAAAGAGGAAUUGUUGUCCAUGAUAAACACUGCCUUCCGUGGCAUUUUUGUGCACCGCUACCGCGACAAGCUGAUGGAGAUCCGGGCAGCGUGCAUGGAGGAGCUUGGAGUGUGGAUUAAGAUGGACCCCGAAAACUUCCUCAAUGACGGCUAUAUUAAAUACCUGGGCUGGAUGAUACAUGACAAGCAAAGUCUGGUGCGUCUGAAGUGUGUGCGAAGCCUCCAGGCUUUGUAUCAGGAGGAGGAGUUCAUUGGCCGCCUGGAGCUUUUCACCAGCAGAUUUAAAGAGAGGCUGGUCAACAUGGUGAUGGACGUGGACCCAGAGGUGGCCGUGGAAACGGUCAAGCUUUUGCUGCUAAUUCACCGAGGUAUGGAGGAAGGCCUGAGUGAGAAGGAAUGCGCUCAUAUCUAUCCACUGGUUUACACCUCAAGCCGCACCCUGGCGUCUGCAGGCGGCCUCUUCCUCUAUAAGAAGCUAAAAAGCCUCAUUGACAGCGAGAAACAGAGAGGCAAUAUUGUGGACUUUUUUCAAAUCCUCAUCUCCUUUCACAUCCAGAGUGAGUUCCACAAUCAUGGAACUUACCUGGUGGACAGCCUGUGGGAUGUGGCGGGUUCCGACCUAAAAGACUGGGAGACCAUGACCACACUUUUGCAACAGGAAGCUGGUUUGAUGGAUGAGGAGGAGGGCGCGCUCAUCGAGUUGAUGAUGUGUGUGAUCCGACAGGCAGCGGAGGCGAAGCCGCCGGUUGGGAGAGUCUCGGCAAAGAAGGCACUAAAUAUGAAGGAGAAGAAGACCCAGGAACAGGACAGGAGGCGUAUCACAACCCAUUUCAUCCCUUUGCUGCCACAACUGCUGACCAAGUACUCUGCAGAUGCAGCAAAGGUAAAACUCCUCUUGCAAGCGCCUCUCUACUUCAACCUGGCGAUGUACAGCAGCGUACAUUGGAUGAAUAAGCAUCUGGACCAGCUGCUGUCUCAGAUUUGCGAGAUCGUGGAGAAGCACACGGACACGGCCGUGUUGGAGGCGUGCGCCCAGCUAUUCAGUGUACUUUGCUCCGACCGCUACGCCUUCUCCUCCCGUGCACGCCUAGCAUUUAGUCAGCUCGUGGACAGUCUGACUGAGUGCUUCAGCACCUAUUUCAACGACCUGCUGCAGGACACCACUGAUGAUGUUUACAGUGCAGCUACAGCUUUGAAAAGGAUCGCAGUCUUGAGCAGUGCCAGAGACUUAACGGCAUGGAGGAUGUUUGACUCCUGCAUUCAUCUUCUGGAAAGCAGAAUGGAGUCCAGAGACCUUGAUGAAGAACUCAUUGUGUCAGCCCUGAGAUGUUCCGCAUGGCACCUGAUGUGGACAAAUAAGAAUGUGCAACACUCUGCGCCCACAGAGGAGGAGCUGAGGUGUCUGAGGAAGGAGGUCGGCUCCUUCUGCGACAUCUGCCAGGGGUGUUUGUGUGUGGACCAGGCUGAGAUCAGGGAUGAGGCUUUUCAGCUCCUGUGUGACCUGUUGUGCUUUUACAGUUCAAAUCACGUCCGCACUGACUCCACCCUUCAGAGCUGGUACUACCUGCCUAAUGAUUUCCUGCGUACUGAGAUGGCAAAUUUCCUUAUGGACUAUAUCUUCUCCGACUCUGACAUUGUGGCAACAGAAGAUGAACACGAGGAGGAGAUUGCCCUUCUGCAAAAGAAGCGCCUCCAACUCGCCGGCUACUGCCGGUUGGUCCUCGUCGGCGUGCUGGACUAUGAAGCCGCCACCGAUGUCUUUAAACACUACCACAUGUACUUCAGGGACUUUGGGGACAUCAUCAAAGAAACCAUAAUCAAGUUGAGGGAUGUUGGUCAUGAAACGUGUGCCAAGAUACUCUGCCUGAGUAUGCAGCAGCUCUUCUCAGUGAUGCUGAUGGAGGAGGACGUCAGCCGGCAGGAUAUCAGCAAGAUUCGAGAUCUGGCCAGGAUGUUCGCCCAGAGCUUUGGCGCUGACCUCACACGCGCUCGCAAACCUCUGUUGGCUCUGCACAUGGAUGGCUUAGAGUUUGCCUUUCGUGUGCAGCAGGAAGGAGAAGAAGAAAGCUACCCCAAUGUGGCCUUCCUGGAGAUCCUCAGCGAGUUCAGUAUGAAGCUGCCGGAGCAGGAGCAGACCCAGCUGUCCACCUUCCUGAAAGCGCGGUGUCCCGAUGCUGCCCUCUCCUGGAAAGCAGUCAAAGUGUACCACUGCUUUUUAGGGGGCCGCGCCUCUGCUAGACCCCGAUUGGAGUCGGCGGGGAGCGUGGGAGCUGUCCCUCCACAAAGCGCACAGGCGGCUAAGCGCAGAAAGACCACUGCUCAAGGGUCCUCAUCCAGCACCGUCGAAAGCUCCUGGCUGGAAAGCAGCAAACUCCCCAGCAAUCUGUCCACUCCGGUCAUAACCUCCACGGUCCAGAAGCAUCCCGCCACACAGCCUGGUCCCAGGGAAGAUGUCAUCUUGGAGUCGGAUGUUGGAAGCAAUUUAACUGAGUCUGAGGAUGAAUUCUCCUCAGGGUCACAGAUGCGAAAGGUGAAUCUCAGCAGGCGACUUCACUCCUCCUUUGGGCAGCAAAGUUCCACCUUGGAUCCGAAAGAACUGAAUACGCAUCUCACCUUGCUAUCGCUGAUUGAGGAUGAUGCCGCAGAACAAGAAGUUGAUGAAUACGAAAGCGACUCGUCAUACACGCUGCCCUCCACCCGUCACAGCACGAGUGUCAUGGAUGAACUGUUUGACUCAAGUCCUGUUCACAUUUGAUGCAGCGCGUCUGCUUUGUGUUUUGUGCGUUUGUCAAAGUUUUGUUUUGCAGCCAUUAAUUUUGUAAUAGGACAAAGGAGCUGAUUGAAUUGGACACAGAGCCCAAAUGUUAUUGUGAUGAAUUACAAGCAAAUUAAUAUUUUUUGGGAUUCAAUUGAAGGUCACUGUGUCAUGUUAUAUUAUGUUAAUCUAACAAUAUGAAUUAAAGUCUGUUUGGUCAAACGACUGUACUAAUAAUAAUCAUAAUAAGCUGUUUCUUACAUGUGCAUUUUAGCAAGUGGUACUGUAGUAUCUAAGUACUUCAAAAAUGUACUUGCCUGUGUAAUGUCAAAGCGGUAAAAAGUGAUACAAGUUGUUUAUUUAAGCAACACUUUUAUGGAUUAAAGUAUAAUUAUACAAUAAUUGAUUGAUUGAAAAGUUUAAGUGCAGGUUUAAAGUAACUUUUUUUUAAAAGAAGAAGAAAACAAUAUAGUAAUCAUUACAUUCAUUUGUCUACAUGACAUUUUUAUAAGUACACCUCUGCAUGACACUAUACCCUUAUUAACAUUAAGGAAAACUAUAGAUCAACUAACAACUAAGACUAACUUUAGUGUUAGCCUGUAACAGCAAAUAUUUAAAGUGCCUCAAGUUGCAUGACAUCAAAAAAAUGUUUUAAUCCUUAUCAGAAUCAGCUUUAUUGGCCAAGUAAGUUUAACACAUAUGGAAUUUGACUUGGUACGCUGUCGUCACUUGUUCAACGUUUACAAAUAA